CUUGAUAUGGCGUCACUUCUCCCUAGCCUCUCAAACCGUGGCUGAGCCAGAAGCAGCACAGUGAAGCAGAGGAGGAGGUAGGGAAGAGAAAAGACAGAAAAAUAUGAUGGGAAAUGUCAACAAAACCAACCCUGGCCCUUUUCCCAUGCUCAGGUUGGGGGAAAGGAGAUGCUUUGAAGUGGAUGGAAGAUUGAAGCUCUGAUACUGGACUCAAAUGGACUUUUAAAUAUCUGAAGAAAUGGAGACUGCUCUGAGAAAGCUGAAAAAAGCUGUGGAUCUGCAAAAAGAUUCACCCAGGAGUGGGAAUGAACCAGUCAGAACUUAUUCGAGGAAACUGGUAAAAAAGGCUUCAGAACCUUUGUGAUAAGCUCCCAGGUAUCACUUGUGGCACACGACUUGCCAGCUUGUUAUCUGUAUGAACUGAGCUCAACCCCUGUUAGUCGCUGAAGGCCUUACAUUAUUUACAUAUCGUCAUAUCCCUCACAAGGCCAAACACGGAAGCUUAAGAUCAGU
rnacentral:lncRNA from 10 species